GAAGAGGGGGGCUCAACUGCACUGAACGCCCCUCUCUUGCUUAAAACAAGUCCCUGAGCUGCCCUGAGGGGAACAUCCACCUCCGUGAACAUUUCAGAGGAUGCCAAGAGGGAGCUGGAGCUGUUAGAGCAAUAUCUCUCGUACAAGUUUGGGUGGCUCUAGCUCAGCAGGACACAAGCUUGUUUGUUUGCAGCCUCAGAUUUGGGAUGUAAAUAUUUCCUUUGGGAAGGGAAACAGGUCUCCCCUGAAUAAUUCAUGUUUUUUUCCUUAAUUACUCAAUAAUAGGUGCCUGCCCUUCUGUAUUGAAAUCUUGGAUAAAAUGCCAACAGUGUGUUAUGUCUCUAAAUCUCAUUUUCAGAAGUAGUUUGAGGCUAAAUUUUCAAGGUUAUGAAAGCAUCUUAAGAUAGAGAUAGCAAUUUUCGAGGCCAGUAAUUAAGCUGGGCAUCCAAUUCCCCAGGAGCACAACCUCUGUAGGCAUUUUUGUAAAUGUAUGUUUUGGCACCUAAUGACCUUGGCAUCUCUCUCAAGAACAGAGGACUGAGGGAGUUUGGAUGACUUCCUGUGGCUAAAUUGCAGUGUAAGCUUUUGUUAAAUAGGAAAUGCAAAAAUGGUCUUUUAGCAUGUUUAUUUGGUUAGCUGCUCACUUAUGAUAUAGCAGAAAAGACAGGUCUUGUAAAAAGCUGAAGUGACAACUGAACCAGUCUUGUCCUUUUUUUUUUUUUUUUAAGAAAAAAUAUGUUGUGUCCUGUAUUUCUUUUAUUUCGUUUAAAAUUUCCUGUCUGAGGCCAUGCUACCAACUCAAUAUGGUAUCAUUGAAAUAUAUGUAGUUAAAUUAGUUUUACAUUAUUAAUUCCUUAGAAAGUCUGAAAUGCAGCUAACAAAUACGAGAUCUUUUCUGCUUGGUCCUCCCAGCUGCACACCACUCCACUUGCUUUGGCAGAUCCCCAGCAUGGUUAGGUGUCCUCUCUGCUUUCUGCCCUCAACGUGUUUUCUGGAUCAGGGCUUUUGACAAGUAGAGAGGGGGUGAGUGUCAUGUUCAAGAGCUCCACUUCAUUAAGAAGAAGUUGAAGCAGUGUAAAUCAGCAUUAUUGCACUGACCACGGUAGCGGAAUAUUUGUUUUGGUUAGUUGAAAUUCUGAUCUGGUUGAGAAUAAAAGAUGAAGUUCAGAUGAAUAUUUUAAUAUGUUAAUUGAGGAUUUCUUACAUAAAUUGUCUCAUUCUUUAAUGAAAUAGUGCUUUUGUUUACAGACUUGUGUACAUGUAUGUACAUCUUUAUUUUAUGGUCAAUUAAAAUGAAUAAUAGAAACUAGGAUAACUUAAUAGAAUGAUUUAAAUAAUAGGAUGUAUCAGAACUUGUGUUGUUUCAGUUUCCAUUAGACCGGAGCCUGAGCCCCCCUCCCCCCCCCCGCUCCACUGUAGCCUGAUAGCAGCCUUCUGAAUGAGCAAAUCCUGUCCCCUCUCUCCCUUCUGGGGACAGUCAGUGCACCAGGAGCUUUCUGUCCCCUCUGGUUCAGCGCAGCGAGCUGGCUCAGUCCCAGCAAGAGCAUGGCCGAGUCAGCAGGUGCUGAGAGCAGAGUUAAUUCUGCUGCCUGGCCUCAGCUCAGGGAUCAACAUGUUGGAUAUUAUCUAUGAUACAGACUUGCCCUAAGGCUCGAGUCUUUAAAUGUAUUUAGGAACUUUAAUAUGCAAGUAAUUCCUGAUGGACUUGCCCAAGGUCACAGAUGAGGGCUGGGAAGCAGCAAAUGCUGUAACCCUUUCUGAAGACACAGGGCAUUUAUGGGAAUUGAAAAGCAUAUUGGGCACUGCUAGAACUCUGGGAAAAGAAAAAUACUUAAUCUGGAAAAGUGAACAAUAGUUUAUUCACAU